CAGAGCUGAGGCCUGAGGCUUGGUGUUUGCACUCCAGGCACUGGCCCUGCGGUCCCACCACUUCCAGAAGGUGGGCAAGAAGCCGGAACUCACGCUGGUCUGGGAGCCUGAGGACAUGGAGCAGGAGCCAGCACAGCAGGUCAUCACCAUCUUCAGCCUGGUGGAGGUGGUCCUGCAGGCAGAGUCCACAGCCCUCAAGUACAGCGCCAUCCUGAAGCGGCCAGGCACCCAGGGCCACCUGGGCCCUGAGAAGGAGGAGGAGGAGGAGGAGUCUGACGGUGAGCCCGAGGACUCAAGCACCAGCUGAGCUCCACCAGCCGCCUGCCCCGCCUGCCUGUCCCGCCACACUGGCUUUAGGACCUGUUGACACGGAGGGGGGUUUUUAAUUUGGUUUUUAACAACUCAGGGGUUUGUUUUUAUUUUUAUUUAAUUUUUGCAGCUCAACUUUUAAACAAACUGCAGGGGAGAGGGUGGGGCUGGAAGGAAGGCUGAGGCCUGGUCAGCAGUGACCCCAGCAGAGCAGGCCCUAGUCCUCCUGGGAGGCUGGCCCCCCUUUUUUCUGGGCCCUACUGCCCUCCUCUGCCCAGGAAAUGGGGGGUUUCAGCAAAUCAGUGUCACAGAAUAAAAUCAAGUGUGGAGUGCC
rnacentral:lncRNA from 1 species